UAGCUCAGUCAGUAGAGAACCUGCCUGCAAUGCAGGAAACUCAGGUUCAGUUCCUGG
rnacentral:tRNA from 1 species